rnacentral:lncRNA from 1 species
UGCUACUUUCUGUCCAUGUGAGUUGUAUAACAAGCAGGCUAUCCAUCUUUCUAUUUGAUUUUGGUAUAGAAAUUUCAUACCAGUUUUAUGGAGAACUAACAUUUCAAAAGAAGGGAUGUACCACAGUUUUAGCAUAUGCAGAACAUCACCUUUAACAAAUAAUAAAGUAAUGUAAUCAAGUACUUGAAAUAUUUAGCCAUGACCUCAUCAUAAUCAGUGUGUGUACUGUAAAAUUGUAUGACGUAUAAGAUAAACCCUGCAUAUCGUGGAUUGUUUGUGAGAUUCUGAAAAGGCUUCAUCUGCUUGACUGUUUGGACU